UCAGGACAGGUUAUGCUAUCGAAUUCAAGACUCAAUUCAUCCUCAAUUCAAUGGGAUAAAAUAUACCCCAGAAACGGAAAUGCUAGAGGAGGAAGUCAAGGUUCUGUUGGACAAGGAAGCAAUUUCACCGGUUCCGUGGGCUCAUGCUCUGACAGGCUUCUAUUCAAGGUACUUCCAAAUACCCAAGAAGGACGGGGGCAUUCGCCCAAUCAUGGAUCUCAGGUGGCUAAACCUAUAUGUCGACGUGAGGAAAUUUCGAAUGAUAACGCUGCAAGCAAUCCUGCCUCUUCUUCACCAGGAGCAAUGGAUUGCAACGUUGGAUUUGAAAGAUGCCUACUUUCAUGUCGGCAUUCAGGAGUCCCACAGGAGAUAUUUACGUUUCACGCUGGGCAAUCGGAUCUUCCAAUACAAUGUCCUGCCCUUUGGCCUGGUGAGUGCCCCACGAGUGUUCACAGAAUGCAUGGCUGUCAUCAUUGCCUACCUGCGAACACAAGGAAUUUAGAUAUUUCUGUAUCUCGACUGGCUUAUUACAGCGAAGUCCAAUGCUCAAUUGGACGGCCACAGACAAACAGUGACUACACUAUUGAACGACCUGGGCAUAAGAAUAAACUGGGAGAAGUCUCACCUUACUCCCUCAAAGCGCCUAAGUUAUAUUGGUGCAGAACUAGACAUGGACUGCCAGAGGGCAUUCCUCCCGCAGGACCGAUUCCAUCGAAUAAAGGAGAUGGUGUUUCACUUUCGUGCCGCUCCACAACAAUAGGCCAGAUCAAUCUAGGUCCUAAUGGGCCUGAUGGCCUCUUGUACCACUACUGUUUGCUAUGUGAAGCUUCGUAUGAGGAAGCUACAGAUGUGGUACCUGGAUGUUUUUCGCCCCAUUGUGGAUCCCCAGGGUCUGCCCCUUCAAAUUCCGCAUGCAGUCCUGGACUCAUUGUUGUGGUGGAUGAAGGAUGCGAAUAUGCAGAUGCCAUUUCAGACCCCGAUACCCACUUGCACACUGACCACAGAUGCUUCCAUGCUCGGAUGGGGAGCUCAUUUGGGAGUCCACAGAACUCAAGGCCAGUGGAAUCACCAGGAGAAGGAGUAUCACAUCAAUUUCCUGGAGCUUCUGGCAGCCUACAAGGCACUGCAAGCCUUUCAGGAUGUCAUUCAGGAGGGAGUACUGCAACUUCAGAUGGACAAUACCACCGCAGUCGCCUAUGUAAACAAACAAGGAGGAAUAGCGUCAAAGCCUUUGUGCCAUCUAGGGCUCCAGAUAUGGAACUGGUGCAUUGCACGACGCAUACACCUGGUGGCUAUACACAUAAGAGGACAAGACAAUGUCCUAGUGGACACGUUGAGCAGGUCUCCCAUCCUUCAGCAACACGAGUGGGAACUAAACCCACAGUUGUUGAAGGAGAUAUUCCUCGCCUGGGGGACCUCAACUGUCGACCUGUUUGCGACAGCAGGAAACAAGAAAUGCAGCCAAUACUGUUCCAGAAUGGGGGAGGGCCUCCUGUCGAAGGGAUAUGCCUUCCAGUACUGAUGGACGCAAAGUAUGUUUUAUUUGUACCCUCCAUAUCUCCUGUUGAACAGGGUUGUAGCCAAGCUUUUACAGGACAACACCAGGGCGAUUGUUGUCGCACCUUGGUGGCCCAGACAGCCGUGGUUCCCACAACUCUUACAACUGUUGAACCAUACGUUCAAGAGGUUGCCACAGCAGAGGGACCAGAUAUCUUAACAAGAAGGACAAAUACUCUGCACCAACCUGUCAGUCCUCAAUCUGACAGCAUGGAAAGUGGGUUGCUGAAAAAGAUAUUAAAGAAUAACAAAAGUAAGUUGACUAGGAAGAAUUAUCUCUGCAAAUGGAGAAGAUUCUCAUUGUAUGCCGCUGAGUACCAAUUCCAACCAAAGGAGGCCUCUGUGAGGGAGGUUUUGCUAUACAUAACAUCCUUGAAAUCCAGUGGAUUGGCCAAUGCAUCCAUAAAAGUACAUUUAGCGGCCAUUUCUGCUCAUCAUGGUGGCUGGAAUCACAAGACUUUGUUUACUCAUCCUAACUGCAAGGAGUUUCUGAAGGGGUUGAAUAAUCUAUACCCCCCAGUACGAAGACCAUCCGACAAGUGGAGUCUCUCCUUGGUGCUCUCAGCUUUGAUGGAGGAGCCGUUUGAACCUAUGGCCACUGCUUCCUUAAAGUUAGUAACAUUAAAGGCUUUAUUCCUGGUGGCAAUCACAUCCGCUAAACGCGUGAGCGAAUGAAUUACUUGCUCUUUGAAUGGAUGAACCAUAUACUUGGUUCUUUCCAGACAGGGUAGUUAUGCGGUUGGAUCCAGAAUGCCGCCUGAAAAUAGUAACUGAUUUUCACUUAAAUGCAGACGUGGUUUUACCUACCUUUUACAGAAAUCCAUCCACACCGCUGGAAGCUUCUUUACACAUGCUGGACAUGUGGAGGGCCAUCCUUUUCUACCUGCAAAGAACAAGAGAGAUGAGAAGGACAAAAAUCUUUUCAUUGCCUUGAAUGGAAAAAUCCGGGGCCUUCAGCCAUCCCGCCAGAAGCUGUCCUUUUGGUUAGUGGAACUCAUUAAAAUGGCCUAUGAUAUACAGGGAGUCACUCUGCCAUCCACUAUUAGAGCCCAUUCAACAAGGGCUCACACUGCCUCGGCAGCACAUCUAUCAGGAAUAAAAUUCAAGGAUGUAUGUAUGGCGGCCACCUGGGCCACGGACCAGACCUUUGUGAAGCAUUAUGCAGUGGACCUUCGCUCUGUAGAGGCGGCACAAUUUGGCAAGGCCGUUCUUAAGAGGGUGCUUCAAUAGCUUGCAUUGCCUGCCACCAUUUGGGCAGCUCGUGAUUCACCCAUUUUUAUGUCUGUCAAGGCCUCACUAUCCAGAUAAACAGGUUGUUACCUGUAACAGGGUGAUCUGGUAGUGAUGCCUCGACAUUCAUAAAACCCUCCCAGCCGGCCCCGCUACAGAGUGCAAGCAAUUGAAAUGUAACAUUUUUUUCGGAUUGUAAGCCAAUGUGAUGUUAAUCAUAAUCGCCAGCUUACGGUUCCUGUGGAUGACAUUGUCUCUUUAAACUGCCGGGCAGCCAUUCAGAAACUGAGCAACUGACACCUAACUGCCAGUAUAGGUACUGCACGACUCGUGCAGAGGCAGUUAAAAGGCGUUGCAAGGAGCUAUUCAAUAUUAACCGAAGUUGUCCUGCGCAGGCGCAGAACCCAUUUUUAUGUCUGUCGAGGCAUUACUACCAGAUCACCUGUUACAGGUUGUAGACAAGCACUUCAAGCUUCCUCAUGUUUCCAGCAAACCCCCCAGGAUUUCAGGGAAUCUAGCAGAUACUUCCUACAAAACCCUCCGGUUUGCUUUGAGGACAUCACUGAAAACUGCUAUCUAUCGGAUAACUA